UGCCUAAUACAUGCAAGUCGAGCGAGCUUGCCUAGAUGAAUUUGGUGCUUGCACCAAAUGAAACUAGAUACAAGCGAGCGGCGGACGGGUGAGUAACACGUGGGUAACCUGCCCAAGAGACUGGGAUAACACCUGGAAACAGAUGCUAAUACCGGAUAACAACACUAGACGCAUGUCUAGAGUUUAAAAGAUGGUUCUGCUAUCACUCUUGGAUGGACCUGCGGUGCAUUAGCUAGUUGGUAAGGUAACGGCUUACCAAGGCAAUGAUGCAUAGCCGAGUUGAGAGACUGAUCGGCCACAUUGGGACUGAGACACGGCCCAAACUCCUACGGGAGGCAGCAGUAGGGAAUCUUCCACAAUGGACGCAAGUCUGAUGGAGCAACGCCGCGUGAGUGAAGAAGGGUUUCGGCUCGUAAAGCUCUGUUGGUAGUGAAGAAAGAUAGAGGUAGUAACUGGCCUUUAUUUGACGGUAAUUACUUAGAAAGUCACGGCUAACUACGUGCCAGCAGCCGCGGUAAUACGUAGGUGGCAAGCGUUGUCCGGAUUUAUUGGGCGUAAAGCGAGUGCAGGCGGUUCAAUAAGUCUGAUGUGAAAGCCUUCGGCUCAACCGGAGAAUUGCAUCAGAAACUGUUGAACUUGAGUGCAGAAGAGGAGAGUGGAACUCCAUGUGUAGCGGUGGAAUGCGUAGAUAUAUGGAAGAACACCAGUGGCGAAGGCGGC
rnacentral:rRNA from 1 species